GUGUGUGUAAUUUGACUUUUUUUUUUUUGUUAGUUUUGUUUUGUUUUUUUUGUGACGCUCGAAAGAUUUGUGGCUUGUAAAAUUAUUGGACGCGUACAUGUGGACGUAGCCCCCGCCAGUGGCGAUUUGCGUGCUUAUGUUCAGUGUUUUUCGGGGGGUCUUCAGUUGGUUUUUUUUCGGCGGAUGAACUUUGCCCCAUUUCUACGAGGGGUGGCCGUCAGACGUGUGCAAACAGGAGAAUGUCGGUUGCGUUCUUUGAAUGUACUCUUUCUUCUCUGCGUGGAUUCUUUCUGUUGCUGUACAUAAAUAUAUAGACAUAUCUAUUCUAUGGGCUGUGCUGAUGUCAGGGAGUAGAGGGGGUGGCCACACGAGCCCCCUUUAGAUUUCAGUCCUCGCCCCCCCCCCUCCACUAAAUAUGCCCCUGAUAUUUACUGUAACAUGUGAUCAUGUGUUAUAUGAUUGAAUGUGUGAUGGUGAUUGUGUGCCCCAGUCCCUCCUCGUACUUCACCCCCCCCCCCCCCCGCCCCCACAUCCCCUGCCCCCUCCUCUCUUUACACAGUCAUUGACUUCACCUCCUUUUGGAAUUAAUUCCGUCCAAUUUAUGGCUUCUCCCAUCCGUCCUUUGUGGGAUUUGAACGCGCGGCCUCGGAGCUCUUUGAUCAUGAGCCAGUGGGAGGAAGUGCUCGCUUCUGCUAAUGCUAGUCCACGGGCGUUUUACAGUUCGGGGGGGAAAUCUGUCAGCCGAUGGGGGGAAGCAGAGUAGAGAUAACCAGCUCAGGGCGGACUCACACUAGGCUGUUCCAACCAGGCUUCAGGCCACUUGAAGCCCCAAGACCAGAACCUUUUUGAGAAUUAUUCAUCACACCCAAUACCUUAUAUGGAAAUCAACAUGGAAACUAUUACAAAUUAUCCCCAAGCGGGGGGGUAUGAAACCCAUCCCCAUUCCCAUCCCCAUCCACAUCUUGCUUAGACACGUGCAGCGUAUAUAUUAUCAUGAGGAAUCCACUACUCCCAUUUACCAGAUGUUCAUCAUAACUAGCAUCUUGCAAAACAGAAAAUUAACACAAGGACAAAUAGUCCCAGGCAGGCUCGGUACGUGUCAUGAUUAAUGCCAUGGCUACUCCUGUCAUCUUGCAAAAUAGAAAUCAACACAAUGACUGGAAAUUAUCCAUGCCGCGCUUGUUUGGACGCAAUUUUGGUGUCGUGAUUAAUGCAAAGACCCAAACACCCCCAACCAGGUCUGCCUAUUUUUAAUCCACUGAUCAAACCUGUUCAUGAUAACCGCCCCCCUCCUUGCCUUGCACAAUAGAAAUCACCAAAGACAAAUGGAAAUAAUCCAUAGUCGGAAGAUAAUCGGGCCUGUGUCCCAACAAAUGCACCCGCUCCGCUUGCCAGUUACUCAUAACAACCACCACUUUGCCCAGUCGAAAUAAUCCACAAAGCGAAUGACUUGUUGGCCUCGUGUGAGUGCGCCGUAGCGAUAUCUUCAAGAGGCUUCCCGCCGGCCGCAUGCUCAACUUCCCGUUCAGCAAAAUCACCCAUCAUUUCACUCAAUUGGUUUCCUUUGGUCAAACAAAUCAGGGCUCCUCCCCCCGUUGACGUUUCCUAUACAGUACAAAGACUUCCAAUCGCAUCGUGACGUCCAAUCGCAUGACGGACGGGGCAGGAGAUGAACAACUGUCGGCGUCGUGCGCCGCCUCCGCCGAUGAUCUAUGCACUACCCUCAGUCACCACACGAUGUCACUCAUGCGCACACAUUAGCGAGACUGUUACCAACUGAUACAAAAUGUACCCGUGUUGUUUUUGUUUUCGGGGAAAAAAAAGGCCAAAUGACAACUCCUGAUCAAAUUGUUUUUUUAAAAAUGAGAAACUGCGUUUGCGAGCCUAGCCUGGUGGUUCACGUAGCAGAUGGUUGUCUUAAAUACAAAAAUGUACUUUAGAGUGUAAAUGUUGGUGCUUUUAGAGAGACAAAAAUGACUAUUAUUGUAGAGCAUAAGCAUUUAAAUGUCCCGUUUUCUGGCAGCGAAUCUGAGUCUCUUUUUAUUGGUUAGCCUAUGAGUGGCGUCGAAGGGAAGAUUUCUCAAUCUAGCCGCGUAUUCCAUGCAUGGCUUCGCACUGUUGGAUUGUUUUCCCAUUGCAGGUGGUAAAGCAGCUUUAAAAAAAA